UCUAAGCCUCCAAGGGAUGGCAGAGCCAUGAGAUGAGACAUGCUUGGGUCCCUGAAUCACCAUAUGGGUCCCUGAAUCACCACCAGGACGAUCUUCAUCAGAUUGUGAUUCUGGUUUUCAGCAUUCCCAACACUGAUGACCUAGAAGAAAAUGAAGUCAUGCAACAGUGCCUCUCUGAGUUUCCUCUGAUGAGGCACCCUCCUUGGUCCACGUGGUUCAUUCGACAGACUGCCCACAACUCACCAUUGCAGGGAUGAAUGGAAGACCAAGACCUGACCGAGCAGAGUCAUGGUGAUUGGUCUGGGGACAAAAAUGGGAUGGGAGGCAGCCCAACGAGAGUCUACACUGUGGAUUUUGCUGGAACUGUUGGAAAGGAUGUGCUGAGGUUGCUAAGCUAAUAGGAUUUAAACCUGGAGCUGCAGACAGUCGUCAUCACCUGCUCUUGAGGAAAGCCUGCAGAGCAUGAAGCUAACACUAAGGGGUGAGGGACCAAGAGGUGAAGAGACGGGCUUUGGCUUAUGGCUGUUUGAGUUGAGCUUGUCUCUUGCAUCCAAAAUUACUCAGAAUUCUGAGUAAUACUUGACC